UCUUAGGUUUUUUUUAAAACCACAAAUUUUCUUCGAAUUCUGAAAG
rfam:Rhodnius prolixus Rhodnius_prolixus-3.0.3-221.23, whole genome shotgun sequence.